rfam:Acetonema longum DSM 6540 Contig00017, whole genome shotgun sequence.
GCGCCCGUAGCUCAGGGGAUAGAGCACCGGUCUCCGGAACCGGGUGCGCAGGUUCGAUUCCUGCCGGGCGCA